ensembl:lncRNA
UCCUGUGGAUCCUGUGGGUUGCAGGGUGGGUCCUACCUAGACCAGGCUGAUCCUGGACCAUCCCACAGAUGCUCCAUCAGAUGUGGAUGUGGGGAGUGUGGAACCCAGAUGUUCAGAGGGAGAUGAUGCCACAUCUGGUCCAGCUGAUGGAAGGUCUUGAAGUUCUCUGACUGGCCUCGACUGAAGAUGGUCGUCUCACUGGAUUUAAGAGAUGCACAAUGAGGGACGUCUGCAGAGACUGAGAAAGAGUCUCACCACAUCCUGACAUGAGGAAAAAGACUUUAUUGAAGACUGCAAUGAGAAAAACUAUCAGACAGCAGACGGCUGCAUUCAAGGUGAGCUCUGAACAUUUGAUCUGGAACAGGAAUUCAAUAACGGCAGCAUGAGCUUCAUUUCAGUCUGUAGCUGCUGAAUUCAUGGAUGAAUCAUCUGGCACUAGAGAAGAACACCAUCAAACAUCCACGUCAGCUGAUGGAGGUCCAAGAGUCUCACCCAACAAACAACCUACAGAGUGAAGACCUCAGCUCUGAUUGGACGGCCUCCUAUUCAGCCACAUUUUAGGCUGUUAGAUUGUUCCAGAUAAGACGAGUACAAGAUUCUUCAGAGCCGUUCUACCACGAGCCUGACAGGAAGAACUCCAACAGCUACUGAAUGUUCCUGUGGUCCCCUCAAGGCUACAGGAGGAGCCCUACAAGGACGAGCCGGUCCACCUGAUGGCGGCCAGUCGCUGCGGUUCAAAGCCAACACCGACUACGUGGACUUCUACUGGACCACACGGAGGCCUUCAAACCGG